CCUACGGGAGGCAGCAGUGGGGAAUUUUGGACAAUGGGCGAAAGCCUGAUCCAGCCAUGCCGCGUGCGGGAAGAAGGCCUUCGGGUUGUAAACCGCUUUUGUCAGGGAAGAAAUCCUUUGAGUUAAUACCUCGGGGGGAUGACGGUACCUGAAGAAUAAGCACCGGCUAACUACGUGCCAGCAGCCGCGGUAAUACGUAGGGUGCGAGCGUUAAUCGGAAUUACUGGGCGUAAAGCGUGCGCAGGCGGUUAUGCAAGACAGAUGUGAAAUCCCCGGGCUCAACCUGGGAACUGCAUUUGUGACUGCAUAGCUAGAGUACGGUAGAGGGGGAUGGAAUUCCGCGUGUAGCAGUGAAAUGCGUAGAUAUGCGGAGGAACACCGAUGGCGAAGGCAAUCCCCUGGACCUGUACUGACGCUCAUGCACGAAAGCGUGGGGAGCAAACAGGAUUAGAUACCCUGGUAGUCCACGCCCUAAACGAUGUCAACUGGUUGUUGGACGGCUUGCUGUUCAAGUAACGAAGCUAACGCGUGAAGUUGACCGCCGUGGGGAGUACGGCCGCAAGGUUGAACUCAAAGUGAGUAGAGCGNGAGAGNGACGACGACGACGACGAGGGAGGAGG
rnacentral:rRNA from 1 species